CCUACGGGUGGCAGCAGUGAGGAAUAUUGGUCAAUGGACGCAAGUCUGAACCAGCCAUGCCGCGUGCAGGAAGACGGCUCUAUGAGUUGUAAACUGCUUUUGUACGAGGGUAAACGCAGAUACGCGUAUCUGUCUGAAAGUAUCGUACGAAUAAGGAUCGGCUAACUCCGUGCCAGCAGCCGCGGUAAUACGGAGGAUUCAAGCGUUAUCCGGAUUUAUUGGGUUUAAAGGGUGCGUAGGCGGUCGGAUAAGUUAGAGGUGAAAUCCCGGGGCUCAACUGCGGAAUUGCCUCUGAUACUGUUCGGCUAGAGAGUAGUUGCGGUAGGCGGAAUGUAUGGUGUAGCGGUGAAAUGCUUAGAGAUCAUACAGAACACCGAUUGCGAAGGCAGCUUACCAAGCUACUUCUGACGUUGAGGCACGAAAGCGUGGGGAGCGAACAGGAUUAGAUACCCGAGUAGUC
rnacentral:rRNA from 1 species